CAUUAACUCUGCUCAUCAUGGACUAUUAUGGUCUGUCUCUGCUCAUCGCCUCUCUGCUAACAGGAAUCAGAUGUGAUGAACUCAGUCCCAUGAAGAUCGAACUGAUCAGCUUCGAAGGCAGUUCUGUUAAUCUAACUUACGGUCUAGCCAGAGAAGCUCGAAGCAACGACUAUUUCUACUGGUACCGUCAGAACCCAGGAGAACCUCCAGAGGUUCUGAUCUCCCACUCUGCUUCAGGAGCUGAAGGGGUUAAAAAACUUCCUGAGCUGAAGAUUGAAGUGAGGAAAACCCAGAUGGAUCUGCUGAUCUCCUCUGCUGCAGUGACAGACUCUGCUGUGUACUACUGCGCUCUGAACCCCGCACCUGGACGAAUCAGCGUGGCCGGCUCUGAGCCGAAACCCACCUUCAGCUUCAACGCCUGCUCCGCCAAAGAAAGACAAACAAGCAGCUGCAACCAAAACGCCUCCACCGACCCUGCUGACCCCACCGACCCCGCUGACCCCACCGACCCCGCUGACCCCGCUCCCAGGGACAAAGCAACCAGCAAGAGCCUCAAAACAUUCUGA